AUGAAUCCCGCUGCCACGCGCGGCCGGUUUACCUCUCCAGCUACCCUCCAGCAGCGCCGCUGUUGCCCUGUUCUUCCCCUCCUCACCCACCCCAACUCCUCACCCCUAGCCUCCUUCGCCUCAAGGCGGACGUCUCCGAUUUGGAUAGGAUUCCAUGGCGUGUUCACGCCGCCACGCACAGUCGGUCUUCCUCUCCAGCUACAUUCCAGCAGUGUCGGCGUUGCCCUGUUCUUCCCCUCCUCCCCUUCCCCAACUCCUCACCCCCAGCCUCCUCCGCCUCAGAGGCGGACGUCUCCAAUUUGGAGCUCAAGUACUGCCUCCCCGGCACCUCCAUCCCCAUCUCUGCCAUGGAUUUGGAUGCUUGCAGAUUUGGAUUGGGGUGCAACAGAGAUGAGGAAGGACAAAGCACGAACAGCUCAAGUGAGAGUGAACGGAUAUGAACACCACAACCCUCUCAGGGGACGUUGGUUGAUCAGGAUACCCAAUUCUCAAACAAGCAUCCUGAGAUGCUCUAGAUAUGGAAGUUCACCCCCAAGCUCGACCAACAAGUUUUUUGGUUCAUGUUCAAUGGGAGGUGAAGAGUGUCGAGCAGGUAUUGAUGCAGGUCCAAGGUAA
rnacentral:rRNA from 1 species